rnacentral:rRNA from 1 species
UGCGAAGGGGGCUAGCGUUGCUCGGAAUCACUGGGCGUAAAGGGCGCGUAGGCGGCCUGAUAAGUAGGGGGUGAAAUCCUGCGGCUUAACCGCAGGGCUGCCUUCUAAACUGUCAGGCUAGAGCACAGUAGAGGCAGGUGGAAUUCCCGGUGUAGCGGUGGAAUGCGUAGAUAUCGGGAGGAACACCUGAGGCGAAGGCGGGCUACUGGGCCGAUACUGACGCUGAUGCGCGAAAGCCAGGGGAGCAAACGGG